rnacentral:rRNA from 1 species
AGUGAACGCUGGCGGUAGGCCUAACACAUGCAAGUCGAACGGCAGCACAGUAAGAGCUUGCUCUUACGGGUGGCGAGUGGCGGACGGGUGAGGAAUACAUCGGAAUCUACUUUUUCGUGGGGGAUAACGUAGGGAAACUUACGCUAAUACCGCAUACUACCUACGGGUGAAAGCAGGGGAUCUUCGGACCUUGCGCGAUUGAAUGAGCCGAUGUCGGAUUAGCUAGUUGGCGGGGUAAAGGCCCACCAAGGCGACGAUCCGUAGCUGGUCUGAGAGGAUGAUCAGCCACACUGGAACUGAGACACGGUCCAGACUCCUACGGGAGGCAGCAGUGGGGAAUAUUGGACAAUGGGCGCAAGCCUGAUCCAGCCAUACCGCGUGGGUGAAGAAGGCCUUCGGGUUGUAAAGCCCUUUUGUUGGGAAAGAGAAGCAGCAGGUUAAUACCCCGCUGUUCUGACGGUACCCAAAGAAUAAGCACCGGCUAACUUCGUG